AAAUAAAGAGCUUGAUUAGUUAAGCAACUCGUUUACAUCGAGUAUAUAUCUGUGCAACUCAGAUUUUAUUUA
rnacentral:tRNA from 1 species